rnacentral:rRNA from 1 species
CCUACGGGGGUGCAGCAGCGCGACACUUUACAAUGCGGGAAACGCGAUAAGGGGACCCCGAGUGCCAGUACUAAGUGCUGGCUGUCUAGAUGAAUAGAUAUCAUUUAAUAGCAAGGGCCGGGCAAGACCGGUGCCAGCCGCCGCGGUAACACCGGGCGGCCCGAGUGGUAACCGAUAUUAUUGGGUCUAAAGGGUCCGUAGCUGUUUAAUAAGUCCUUUGGGAAAUCUGGUUGCUUAACAAUCAGACUGCCAAGGGAUACUGUUGAACUUGAGACCGGGAGAGGUAAGAGGUACUUCAGGGGUAGGAGUGAAAUCUUGUAAUCCCUGGGGGACCAUCUGUGGCGAAGGCGUCUUACCAGAACGGGUCUGACGGUGAGGGACGAAAGCUGGGGGCGCAAACCGGAUUAGAUACCCGGGUAGUCCCAGCCGUAAACGAUGCUCGCUAUGUGUCAGGUACGGUGUGACCGUAUCUGGUGCCGUAGGGAAGCCGUGAAGCGAGCCACCUGGGAAGUACGGUCGCAAGGCUGAAACUUAAAGGAAUUGGCGGGGGAGCACUACAACGGGUGGAGCCUGCGGUUUAAUUGGAUUCAACGCCGGAAAUCUUACCGGGGGAGACAGCAGCAUGAAGGUCAGGCUGAAGACCUUACCAGAUCCGCUGAGAGGAAGUGCAUGGCCGUCGUCAGUUCGUACUGUGAAGCAUCCUGUUAAGUCAGGCAACGAGCGAGACCCGUGCCCACAGUUGCCAGCAUACCCUUCGGGGUGAUGGGUACUUUGUGGGGACCGCCGCUGCUAAAGCGGAGGAAGGAGCGGGUUACGGUAGGUCAGUAUGCUCCGGAACUCCCGGGCUACACGCGGGCUACAAUGGUUGGGACAAUGGGAAUCAACACCGAAAGGUGAAGGCAAUCUCCUAAACCCAAUCGAAGUUCGGAUUGAGGGCUGCAACUCGCCCUCAUGGAGCUGGAAUCCGUAGUAAUCGCGUUUCAACACAGCGCGGUGAAUACGUCCCUGCUCCUUGCACACACCGCCCGUCAAACCAUCUGAGUGAGGUUUGGAUGAGGGUCUUCCUGAUGGAGGACUCGAA